UAAAGGCCGCGUACCUAAUCGGAAACAGACAGGUGCCUUCAAAUCGGGGGCCGGGUUGAAGGUACCUGCCAAUCAGGGCAGCCCCAGGGCGGAGCCAGGCAAGAUCGCCCGCCCCUUCCCGUUCGUGGACCCGGCUGUCGUUCAUUUCUGGCCGUCCAAUGAUGUGACGAGUGGGCGGUACCCGCUCCUGGAAGCGUGUGAAACCGGGAGUAGCAGGCAGGCUUGGGACUAGCGCAUCUUUCCGCCUGCCUUGUGUCUUGGCCAGGCGGACAGGUCUCUCAGUUGCACGGUCUUUCUCCAAGUGCCUGUGACCCAUCUUUGAGACUCAGAGGAUGGAAGAAAAGGAAGGAAACAGAAGACAAUGCCCCAAGUCACUGACAUCACGCAUAGCUGCAUUGGUUGGGAAGCGGCAUGGAGGCAUGGAGUUUUUGUCCUUCCUCUGAAUGGUGACGUGAUUGUGGGACAGGAACUCUCCUCCGCACCUCCGUUCGCUUGUUGUCGUGAGGACGCCGCAGAAGCUGAUCCUGAAACAUACUGAACUUGGAGAAACUGUUCUAAGAGGAUGCAGCACUGUCGGGUGACUUAGAUUCCUUCUUGAGACUCGCACCUCCAUGCCCCCAUCCACUGGUUCAACAGUUCAGUCUGGCCAGCGGGGGACGGGGACUCUGACAGGUGGCUUUUCCCUGGCACACCCACAGGCAGAGGUCAGCAAAGGUCGUCACUUUCAAGCAAGGCUGAUCUACACAGUUCCAGGGUAAGUCUGGGAAGACAGUUCUGUGGCCUGGGGUUAUCUGACCUUUGGAAAGAACCUCCCAGGUGUGCAGACUCUCUCACGUGAGGGAGGGAAAGAGAGUAGCCCUGGGAUGAGGGGCAGACUGGGGUCCAGAGACACACAGAGCCCUGAGUGGUGACGGGGGAGUCCCAUGGAGAGAGAUUUCAGCCAGGACCCCAUGAGCUGGGGAGAGACCCAGAGAGAAACUGUGAGCUGGAGAGGCCUGGCUUCCAGCGGGGCUGCUCCUCCAGUGUAGCUGAGGAUGGCUGACCUCGCAGGUCAGCAAGUAGCUCUGAAGCCAGCUCCCAGCCCAGAGCAGGCGGCCCCUGGAGGCACAGCACUCCCCUAACCUGGCAGGUGCUCUCGUAGUGCUGGGUUCCCCCCCCCCCCCAGGGCAGGGCACCUGUCUGCCCCACACGGGCAGGGCUUGGCGCACCAGGGUGGGAGCGGGAAGUCCUCAGCCAACACUGGAGUAAUAGCAGUGCCCCUGUCAUGGGGCCCUGAGGGUGAGCUCGGUGCUGAGUGCUUCCUGAGCAUCCUUCUGUCCUCACGUGUGCGCCUGGUGAUGUCAGUGGGGAGGCCUGGAAGGUGGAACAACCGCCCAAGGUGCCACAAGCAGCCAGGUGGCCUGUGCUGGAAGCUGGGGCCUUGGAAUGAGCGGGGUUCUCGAAGGGGCCUGGAGAUGGAGAGGGUGCUCCUCGCCCCGGAACUGCACGAGGAGGAGGUGACAGGCCCAGGGGUGGACCUGGGUCCUGUGGGGCCCGAGCUCUGUUCCCCAGACCCCAGGGCGCUGACUCCUCAGCCACCCAGGGGGCUGACAACGCUCACUUGCCAAGACUGGAUCCUGAUGAUGUGCUUUUAAUUACAUCCAUUCCAAAGGUACCUCCUUUCCCAGUUAAAAUAAAGACGACACGUGAUGAA